UGAGUAAAUUGUACAGUCGCAUGUGAAAGCAUGAGGAAAGUCCGAGCUCCGCAGAGCAGGGUGCCGGGUAAUACCCGGUGAGGGUGACCUUAAGGAUAGUGCAACAGAAAUAGACCGCCGCUUAUGCGGUAAGGAUGGAAAGGCGAGGUAAGAGCUCACCGGCGGCUUGGCGACUUGUCCGCCCUGUAAACCCCACCCGGUGCAAGAUUGGAAUGAGAGCAUUUAAUGGCGGCCCGCCACGCUCUUGAUAAUCGCUUGAGCCUAUCGGCAACGAUAGGCCUAGAUAGAUGGUCACCCACGGCGCGCAAGCGCCCGGACAGAACUCGGCUUACGGCUUACUCACUUU
rnacentral:RNase_P_RNA from 1 species